rnacentral:rRNA from 1 species
AGCAGUCGCCGCGGGAAUACAGAGGGUGCGAGCGUUAAUCGGAUUUACUGGGCGUAAAGCGUGCGUAGGCGGCUUCUUAAGUCGGAUGUGAAAUCCCUGAGCUUAACUUAGGAAUUGCAUUCGAUACUGGGAAGCUAGAGUAUGGGAGAGGAUGGUAGAAUUCCAGGUGUAGCGGUGAAAUGCGUAGAGAUCUGGAGGAAUACCGAUGGCGAAGGCAGCCAUCUGUCCUAAUACUGACGCUGAGGUACGAAAGCAUGGGGAGCAAACAGGAUUAGAUACCCCGGUAGUCCCUGUCUCUUAUAC